CUGGCUGUAUUGCUCAGUGGUAGAAUUCUUGCCCAGCAUGCAAGAGGUCCUGGGUUCAAUCCACAGCACCAAAA
rnacentral:tRNA from 1 species